rnacentral:rRNA from 1 species
GAUGAACGCUGGCGGCGUGCCUAAUACAUGCAAAUCGAGCGAACAGAUGAGGAGCUUGCUCCUCUGACGUUAGCGGCGGACGGGUGAGUAACACGUGGAUAACCUACCUAUAAGACUGGGAUAACUUCGGGAAACCGGAGCUAAUACCGGAUAAUAUAUUGAACCGCAUGGUUCAAUAGUGAAAGACGGUUUUGCUGUCACUUAUAGAUGGAUCCGCGCCGCAUUAGCUAAUUGGUAAGGUAACGGCUUACCAAGGCAACGAUGCGUAGCCGACCUGAGAGGGUGAUCGGCCACACUGGAACUGAGACACGGUCCAGACUCCUACGGGAGGCAGCAGUAGGGAAUCUUCCGCAAUGGGCGAAAGCCUGACGGAGCAACGCCGCGUGAGUGAUGAAGGUCUUCGGAUCGUAAAACUCUGUUAUUAGGGAAGAACAAAUGUGUAAGUAACUAUGCACGUCUUGACGGUACCUAAUCAGAAAGCCACGGCUAACUACGUG